rnacentral:rRNA from 1 species
GCGCGAAAACUUUACAAUGCUGGCAACAGCGAUAAGGGAACCUCGAGUGCCAGGUUACAAAUCUGGCUGUCGAGAUGCCUAAAAAGCAUUUCAUAGCAAGGGCCGGGCAAGACCGGUGCCAGCCGCCGCGGUAACACCGGCGGCUCGAGUGGUAACCGUUAUUAUUGGGUCUAAAGGGUCUGUAGCCGGCCGGAUAAGUCUCUUGAGAAAUCUGGCAGCUUAACUGUCAGGCUUUCAGGAGAUACUGUCUGGCUCGAGGCCGGGAGAGGUGAGAGGUACUUCGAGGGGUAGGGGUGAAAUCGUUGUAAUCCGUUGAAGGACCACCGAGUGGCGAAGGCGUCUCACCAGAACGGACCUGACGGCAAGGGACGAAAGCUAGGGGCACGAACCGGAUUAGAAACC